AGAGUUUGAUCCUGGCUCAGGACGAACGCUGGCGGCGUGCUUAACACAUGCAAGUCGAACGGUAAGGCCCUUCGGGGUACACGAGUGGCGAACGGGUGAGUAACACGUGGGUGAUCUGCCCUGCACUUCGGGAUAAGCUUGGGAAACUGGGUCUAAUACCGGAUAUGACUACGAAUCGCAUGGUUUGUGGUGGAAAGCUUUUGCGGUGUGGGAUGGGCCCGCGGCCUAUCAGCUUGUUGGUGGGGUGAUGGCCUACCAAGGCGACGACGGGUAGCCGGCCUGAGAGGGUGUCCGGCCACACUGGGACUGAGAUACGGCCCAGACUCCUACGGGAGGCAACAGUGGGGAAUCUUGCGCAAUGCGCGAAAGCGUGACGCAGCAACGCCGCGUGGGGGAAGACGGCCUUCGGGUUGUAAACCUCUUUCACCAUCGGCGAAGCCGGGGGCUUUUGUUUCCGGUGACGGUAGGUGGAGAAGAAGCAC
rnacentral:rRNA from 1 species